rnacentral:tRNA from 1 species
GUGGGUGUAGCUCAACUGGUCAGAGUGUCGGGUUGUGGCCCCGAAGGUUGAGGGUUCAAGUCCCUCCACUCACCCCA